ACACACACACAGCUGCAUGCCACACCAUCAUGCCGGGACUGUAGGAGGGACCCAAUCUGCUUGGUUGGGACAGUUGUCGUCUGAGGUGUCCUACGCCGACUGGACAUAUGCUGACCCCUUCUGAUUUUUAUUUUUUUUGUGCUGACUUCCUAGUUGGUGCCACGUUGUGUCCCGACUUUUUUGCUGAGUUUUUGUUUGCGGGGGUGCAGAGGGAUGAGUGGGUUGCUAGGAGUGUGCGAGAGAUUGUUCAUUGUGUGUUUGCAAUAAUGCAAGUGUCGCAUUAUAUUUGUUUUUUGUGUGUGUGCAUCGGAGGGAAGAAGGGGGCGGGGGGAGGAGGGGUGUACUCGCUGACAAAAGUAAAGAGGAAGCUUUGCCAUCUCACCUACGCAAAUAUUUGCACGCACACACUCUCGGCUGUACCAACAAGCGAGUGAACACGCAACGUGAAACGCGUUGGUUUGUCUGUGUACACGCACCGACUAAUCACAGAACAAACACACAAUGCAGUGUCCCUCCACUCCCAGUCUGCACCAAGUCCACAUGAGUGACACCUGACAGAACGUGUGUGACCAGAGUUAAAGGUAGACACACGCGCACACACCUACACCCGAGUCGCUGAAACCGAGACGGGAGACGGGAGCGGCCCCGCGCCGCCUCGCGCCGCAGUCUGAGCUGAUGUUGCUUGACACGGUCAAAAACAAAGCUCAGUGUUUCUCCGCCGCUACGUUAAGCAUCGAGGCCGCUGUGUCAGGCCUUACCUGCUUCCUGUUUGAAGGCUCCAUGGAAACCCGUUGUGACGACGCCACCUGGUCAGUGUCUGCAGAAGUCAGGGCGAAGGGCGAAGGGGAGGAAGGGAGGGAGGGGGAGACCCGGAGGAAGGGCACACUAUCCUCGUGCACUCGUACGCUACCGAAUUGCUUACAGGAAAACGUAUAUUAGGCAAAUAUUCCAGCACGCUGUCCUGUUAGCACAUGUUGGUUCGUCCACCACGCUGACCUUUUGCACUUUAUUCAAACACUCGUAGGAGUAAAUGUUGUUGUACUUAAUGUAAUGAACUUAAUGUAAUAGUCUGUAGUUAAAUAUUAGAUAAUUACUGUAUUUUUUUCCUGUCAGUCUUUGUUUCCAUUUAAACAAAUAUGUUAAGCUUUUAUAGUUUGUUGGAAAAACUGCAAAUAAUAUCAUGUCAAGAAGGGGGUGUUUAGACAAAACAAGACUGUCUGUAUCGUUUGUACAAUAAGUUGGGUGUAUGAGAUGUCAGCUGAGAUUAGAUGACCGCACAGGAUAUGAAAUCUGUGUGUGUCCGGUGUCCAGAAGGCCACUCAGUGUCUCAUCAUGAUCAGAUGUAUGUCUCAGGAUAAAGAACAUGACGGUCCUUGUACAAUGAGAUCAUUGUGCGUCCGCAAGUCCUUCUUGUUUAUCAUACCUCAUGCCAGUAUAUAUAUUUAUAGACCUGGGCGCAUGACUUGUAUGUGUGUCAACUCUGUCUCCGGUUUGCAAACAUUAAAUGUCCCGUUUUUGAUCGUUUUACACCGGUGUCGAGUCUUCAUUUUUCUAACACAGUUGAUUUGUAGCACCUGCAGAAAACUAAACGGUGGAAAUCAAAAAUGUGAUUGGGGUCUGACUAAAGUAGGGCAUCGCCAGAGAAGUGCAAAAGAUAAAGAAGCGCAGAAUGCCUGUGUGUGUUUUUCACCCUUCCUCCCAAUUGAGGCCACACUUUUAAGGUCAGCAGAGUGCGAGGAAGUGCAGCGGGUUGCAGAAUGUUGCCGGCACUUAAGCUCGGCGCACUUCUGAACCUCAUGGACGUCUGUGGCAAGGUCACUGCAGGAAGCAUAAAUGGGAGCUGAUGGCUCCGCCGCCGCGCUCUGCACCACACUGUGUGGGCACGAACGUGCAAAGGAGGCGUGCCGUAUUCAAAAAGCGCUGCAGAAAAAAGAGCCUGGCCCGACAUUUUUAAGUUGGCCCACACAGUGUGACGAUGGGGUAUGACUGAUGCCUUUCCUGUCGUCGACCCGAGAGAGCUCUCAUCAUAAUAAUAAUGUUGGACCACACAAACAUCUUGAGCAUCAUUUUAAUGGCAGUUUUUUGGUGAGUAUUUAUUGUGAAGAAGUUUUCUCACCAAUAAGCGCAAGUGUGUAAUGGAAAUUCCCGAUAAGAGGCCAGAACCGUCCACAUCCUCUGCUCACCCUUCCUCUACUCACGACUUCUUCUUUUUCCUACUUUACGAAUGCAUUGUUUUACUGCAAAUUAUAACCAUAAAAAGCCUCUGAUCCCCCAUUCUGUUAAAUUAAUAGAAUUACGCAAAAAAUGUAAUGAUAGCAAUUAAGUCUUGAAAAUGCAAAUUUUAUAGUCAAGGGCGAUUACCUCAUUUAUAGCAUGUGCUGGAAUGAUGCCAGACGAAGGUAAUUUAGAUCCGGGUUGCUCACGGUUACAUCAUGAUGAAUAUGAGACGAGCGGCGCCUCAUCACGCACCUCAAGUCGCCGCGCUCUCAAUCAAUUGGAGAGGCCGAGGCGGAGUUUAGGGGGGAAUGAGGAACAGGACUGCUGUCAGGGACAACCCUUCUGCAGGGGGGAGGGAUACAUCAGGAGUAAAUGGGACUGAGGGAGGAUGGAAACUGGGUGGGGGUGUUCUCUAAAAGGUGGGAGCAUUUCAAAUGAGUGAAAAGGGCACUUCUGCACUGACCGUAAGCUUUAAAAGGGCCUGUUCUUGACUUCUAUGACUUUACAAAUAUUAUGCGUUCCAGCAAUUCCUCCUCGGCAGGAACUGUAAUGUAUUUCACAAUGAAUGCUGACAUUUCAGAGCGAAAUGGAUUCCAACACAGGUUUGAUGGCGGCCUCCCAGGACGACGCUGCUUUUCCCAUCUUCAGCGCGCCCUGUUAACCUCGUAAUGUUUAUUGCCCCGGAUUAGGUAUUUCACAUCUAAACUCCACGCACAAAUGACAUUUAAAUGCAAGGAUUUUUAAACCGUAAUUGCGUUUUGGCUGAGUAAAAUACUCACAUUAGUUAAUUAUUUGAGAAAGGCAGCUGUAGUGGAAUGAGUCUUUUAUGGGGUCUGCCUGGUGCCAUGAUCUCUAAUAGCUUAACAUUUCACUUUAGCACUCUGUGCAUGCUAGUGCACUCUUCUAAUCAACAACUGUUUCACGAGCUGGAGCAUGAGGGGGAGAAGCGGGGCACUAAGGUCCCAAUAGAGUACACUCUGUGUUUUGAAAUUCCUGCCUCACUGUCUGAAAAAAAAGAAAAAAAAGAGAUCCUUUUUCAUUUGGUUGUGACAAUUUAUCCAGAGAGAUUUCAGUGGGUUACCAUCUACAUAGCAGAUAUGAUUCAUAUUACGCUUUCCAAUAUGACUUGAUUCAGUUUGAUUUCACCUCCAGGGAGAUUUGAUGGUGGAAAAAAAAGCAGAGAAGAGAUAAAAUA
ensembl:lncRNA